AGUGAACGCUGGCGGUAGGCCUAACACAUGCAAGUCGAACGGCAGCACAGUAAGAGCUUGCUCUUACGGGUGGCGAGUGGCGGACGGGUGAGGAAUACAUCGGAAUCUACUUUUUCGUGGGGGAUAACGUAGGGAAACUUACGCUAAUACCGCAUACGACCUACGGGUGAAAGCAGGGGAUCUUCGGACCUUGCGCGAUUGAAUGAGCCGAUGUCGGAUUAGCUAGUUGGCGGGGUAAAGGCCCACCAAGGCGACGAUCCGUAGCUGGUCUGAGAGGAUGAUCAGCCACGCUGGAACUGAGACACGGUCCAGACUCCUACGGGAGGCAGCAGUGGGGAAUAUUGGACAAUGGGCGCAAGCCUGAUCCAGCCAUACCGCGUGGGUGAAGAAGGCCUUCGGGUUGUAAAGCCCUUUUGUUGGGAAAGAAAAGCAGCAGGUUAAUACCCCGCUGUUCUGACGGUACCCAAAGAAUAAGCGCCGGCUAACUUCGUG
rnacentral:rRNA from 1 species